GCUUACGGCCAUACCACCCUGAAUGCGCCUGAUCUUGUCUGAUCUUAGAAGGUAAGCAGGGUCAGACCUGGUUAGUACUUGGAUGGGAGACCGCCUGGGAAUAUCAGGUGCUGUAAGCC
rnacentral:rRNA from 1 species